UGAGCAGGGAUUGUGUGUAUUGGUAUUGUGCUGCAAUUGCACUCUUCCAAAAGAGUUCCCUGCAACAUAAAUUUGGGCAAGAUGGGCAGUUGUGUUUCAUCUUUACAGUUGGUAUUGUGCUGCAAUUUUUCCUGUUUACUUUU